rnacentral:misc_RNA from 1 species
UGGCAGCACAUGGCACAG